CAGCCCAGCAAAGCAUGGGUGACCACUCCAACACCUUCAUCCCAGGAGCUUCCUGCCCAACCUGCACACGACUCCAUCAAGAGUCCUCUUUCCCCAGAAAUUACUCAUAGUUUACAUAACCAGGAGGAGGAGGCCUUUUGAGUCUUACAAUUUUAUGAGUCUUGUAUGUUUCAUUAGCUUAGGAGUCUCCUUCCUCCCUGUGUGUGUGUGUGUGUGUGUGUGUGUGUGUGUGUGUGUGUGUGUGUGUGUGGUGGGGUGUUUCAGUUUGGAGAAAAUAGCUACACACCAUGCUGGUGCAGCUGGACUGUUGAGGUCCCAUCAGAUACACCAGCCUCAAACCAAUGCACUGAUUCAAAACGCUAUGUGAAACCCGUUAUACACCUACUCACUCACACACCUACGUGUGCCUCCAUGCACCCACAGCUCGUCAGUACACCUAUCCACCCACCCACCUACACGCUGAACCUUUAUUCAUAUCCUAUAGUUAACCGACUGAAGGCAAAUGUGCGGGCGACAUGGUUAAAUUUACUGUUUGGAAAGAACUGGAGAAAGAAGAGGCAUAGGGACUCUGGAUGCAGCUGUGGGUAUAGAGCUGAAGGAACUGAUUGCAGAGAUGUGAGGGAGGUGUUGACUGUCAGACAUGGUAUCUGGGGAUGUGAUGCUUUUCAGGAUCUCUCAGUCCACGACUAGCUGUCACGGAGCUCAAAAGCCGCAUAGCUUUUCUCCUAGACCUCAUGUGAUUUUGCCUCUGGGGAUAGGGUCAGAAUUCUUUUCCACAGCAAUCUUUUUACUGUGGAGAAGCCACAUGCUUCUGAACUUCCUGUCAGCUGUCUGCAACAUCAUGGUGAGGACCUGCUACGCACAAUGAGGUGUCAGGCCCUCCUAACAGCUCUGCAGACACAAAGCUGAACACAUCCCACGAGGACCCCGCCCUCGCGGACGCUCCAAGGCACGAGUGACUAAAGGAGGCACGGGUCGAGCAGGAACCAGCUUCUCCAAGGCUCGCGCUUCCACCCGGCGUUCCUGGCGGCCACACUGCCCGGAGGCCGCGUGACGCCAGAACGCGGGGCGUGAGGAGUGCGCCUGCGCGAAGGGGCUGCGCGUGCGCAGCGAGUGUGCAGAAGGCCGGGAGUGUUCAGGGUCGUGAGGUGGAACUCUACCGCUGUCGCCACGGUGUCCUGGCGAGUGCUGCGCCGGCUCUGUCCGGCGGAAGUUGCCGGUCGGUGCGAACGAGCGUCCUUUGGUCACAACUGGCUCUGGUGUCAGCCGAGGCUGCUCCCUUGAUCCAUCCAGGAGAGACAAGGACCCACGUCUGAGUGCCGAAGGGCAGAGGCAUAGGGCUGCGCUUCGCGGGUGAUUGUUCCCCUAUAAGGGCCCUGCCUCCCCUGGCUCCCGGGCCCCAGACUCCUAAAGCUCCUCUGGUCCCAAGCUCCCUAGAUCCCCAAGUCCUAACUACUUUUCUAGACCCCAGUUUCUCAGACCCUAAAACUCUAAGAUCGCUGGCUGCCUAGAAUCUUAAGUCUUCAGAGUAUCUGGCCUCCAGCUUCCCAGACUCUCAGUCCUUAAGGUCCCCCAAACCCCCAGCUUCUCAAUAUCCCAAGCCAUAAGGACUCAGGCCUGCAGCUUCCAAGCCUUAAGACAGUCGAGAGGACAGUUCCUUCGAGAGAAUAAGACAGUGCAAAGGUGAAGGCUCCCUGCCCCCCUUGGAUCUUUGAGAGGUCCAUUUCGGAGUACCCCUAGAGGAAGGGUAGAACUUGUCGCAAGGGAAGAAUGGGUGUCCCUAAGAAGAGUCAGAGCAGGCCCCCAGAGAGCCAGGUCUGAGGCCCAGGGAUGCCUAUGAGAGAGGAGACUGAAUAGAGUGAAGUACCAGGAGUAGCUGCUGGUUGGUGGGAAGAAACCAAGGAGCCUGAGAAGAGUACAGGGAGUGAGGGAGGUUCUGCUUCACUGGGUGACAGGGUGCUGGUUCUGGAGUGGGUCUGCUGGAGCUUGGGAGAAGCCAUCUUGAAGUGGAGCAGAGCCCAGAGUAGCUUUACUCCAUGUUCCAGACACGGAUACCUGAGGCCACCUGGAGAAUGGGUUGGAAGCAGCCAAGAGAACCCAAAGCAAAACGGAAUGAGUACAGCCAGCCCUGCUUGUGGUGAGCGUGGGGCAGGGAAUCUGUUACAGCCACUCAUCCACUCAUCAUGUCCAGCCUGGCCACAGGAGGGUGCAGAACCAGGAGAGGACCCAACACUGCCACAGAGAUUUGCACACAAGGGUUGUUAGAUGAUGUGUGCAUUCUAACACGUGACAUUGCUCAUCCCAAUGGUCAUAGCUAGGGCUGUACCUUGACCACCUACCAUCUCACACCAAAGGAUUAGAGUACCUAGGAAGCCCUUUAAAAACCCAAAGGACUAAGAAGUUCUUUAAAAACUCAGUAAGAAAGUUGGUUGUAAGAGCUGAACCAAGUUGAUCCAGACAAAAUACAAAUGAUCCGUGAACCUAGAAAAAAGAUGCUCACAUACUGAGAGAAAUGACCACAAUGGCGAACUAUCAUAUUUAGAAAUUUCCUGAUUUGCUAAAUGUAGUCAGGGCUGCAGGGAAACAGAGAAUGCCCCUUGCAUAGGCAGUUUGGCACCCUCUGAGGGAAUUGUAAGUGCCUUCUCCUUAGGCCAGCCAUCCUACUUUUGGGAGUUGGGUACCCAUAGUGCUUCAGUGCCAUUUAAGAAUAUUUGUUACAAUUGCUUACAGUCAGAACUGGAAGUUGCCCAGAUGCCCAGCACUGAGAGACGUGAUAACUUAAUAAAUGUGUGCUGGAAUAAGCCCACUGUGACAUGCUACAGGAGUGAGAAAAUGAAAGGACUGGGUGGAGAGAGAGCUCUGAGGUAAAGUGCUUGCCUUAUAACAGUGAUGGCCCAGAUUCAGUCAGAACUUAAAGCAGGCACAGUGACACACUGUGAUCUAGCAUGGAGGAGAUAAAGACAGGUGGGUCUCAGAGUUUGACAGCCAGCCUAGCCUACUGGAAGCCCCAGGCUAGAGAGCGCCCACAUCACAAACAACAGUAAAACAAGGAGGGAUGGCUGGGGGGGGGGUGUCACCUUGAAGUGACUGGCCUCCACAUGUGCACACAUACACAGGGACAAGGGAUCGUUUGUGUGAAAGAAAAGCAAGGUGCACAUACCACAUCUGAUGAUGUGCCACCUUUGGGUGUGGCACUGAGGGAGUUCUGUAAGCCUGUGCUGGCCAGCUUCAUGCCAACCUCUACACAAAACAGAGGCAACUGGCAAGAGGGAAUCUUUUGUUUUGCUUUCCCAGACAGGGUUUCUCUGUGUAGCCCUAGCUGUCUUGGAACUUGUCCUGUAGACCAGCUGGCCUUGAACUCAGAAAUCUGCCCACCUCUGUCCUGGCUCCCAAGUGCUGGGAUUAAAGUUAUGCACCACCACCAUGAGGCAGGAAAGAGAAUCUUAACUGAGAAAAAUGCCUCCUGUAGGCAAGUCUGUGGGUUAUUGUUUUGAUCAGUGAUUGGAUGGCAGCUUACUGUGGAUGAUAGAACCCCUGGGUCCUGGGUGGCAUAAAAAAGUAGGAACAGCAAGCUAUGAGGAGCAGGCCAUCAGCACUGAUCCUCCGUGAACUCUGCAUCAGCUCUUGCCUCAAAGUUUCUGCCAUGUGUGAGUUCUUGCCUUGACUUCCCUCAGCGAUGACUGUGAUCUGAAGCUAUAAGCCAGAAUAAACCGUUUCCCUCCAA